AAACACACCCACGUUUUCUUUAUAAUUUUUUUUUUGUAUUUCGAUAUUCUUCGUACCCAAGCCCAGAUUAGAAAUCCCACCAACUGUAUUUAAAUUUGGGGUUAUUUCGGUGCCAGAUCAAAGGUUCUGGCACCUUGUGCUACCCACAAGCAACCGCCGGCUCCAAGCCGUACCACCAGAGCAGCACGUCCAGCAGAGUAGCCGAUGCACAUCGAUCAUCAGAACAUCUCUUUUGGCCGAAGCCAUCGGUGUUCAAGUGUUAUUAGUGUGAAUUAAUCUACCCCCCGCAAAAGUUCAGUGAAAAACAAAACCUGUAGCGAAAAACGAAAAAAAAAGGGAAAACAAAAGCCCUCACAUUAAGCGGUUCAAUUUUUUUUUGGUUAUAACACGAGGUGGCUACACGGUGACAAACUAAUGGUUUUACCGCACGCAUUACCAAACAUGUGCUAAUACACUAAUAAAAUAAUUGGACACCAACGAUCGCCAAAACAAAAAAAAUGAAUUCAAUUUAAAACGUUACGAAAACUACGAGUUUACUAUACCCGAGAAAGAAAAAAAAAGGAAAUUAUAUAUAUUUUAAAUAUAGAAUAAAUUAAAUUAUAGAUAGAUUAAAUUAAAUUAAAUAAAUAAAAAAGAGGUAAAAAGUGAAAGUCAGUGGUGGAAAGAUUUGGCCAUGCCAGCUAGAAAAAAAAAUAAAAUAAAAAAAAACUUUUUAAAUAAAUAGUAAUAUAGAAAAAUAAUUAAAAUUAAAAACAUAAUGGGUUAAUCAUACUCCAGCCAUUCAUCCAACGCAAUACCUCAAUAAUAUAUAUAUAUCCAUACACAACUUUUUCCGCAAACAUUUAUCAAGACCAAAACAUGAAACAAUAAGAAGAAAUUCGCCGGAGAAAGUACUUUCGCCGUGGGAGAAAAUAACAUGUAAGUUAUAUCUCAAAAUUUGUCUCUAUUAAUUGCAACGAUAUAUUAUUUAAAAAAAGGCAUUGCAUUUUUGGGGGAUGGCUCUUUCAGUCUUUAAAUUUUACAGUUUUAUAUAUUAAAUCUAUUCUUUCUUUUGAUCGCCUAAUUCGUCGCGAAACCCAAAACCCAGGCUUGACCUACGACAACAUGUUAUUGCAUGGUACAGUCGAGGAUCGAAAUAUUGUGUACACCGAGCCUCUCUCGUGUAUAGGUACAGUCGAGGACCGAAAUAUUGGGUACGCCGGUAGUAAAUUGAAAAUAUUUUAAUUUUUUUUUCUUCUUAUCGAAUUAUAUUACAUUUAUAUUAUAUUAAUACCUAUGCGAAUGGUAUAGGUGGUUUUGAAACAUAUUUUCUUUUCAGCCACUGUAUUUUCACUCAUACUUACAUAUGUAUAUACAACGACUAUUACAAUGAAUAAAUAAUUUAGGAAUAAUUUCUUUUGCAUUAAUAAUUAAAAUAGGAUAAAACUAUAUAUAUAUAAUAUAAUAAUGAUAAAAUAAUAAUCGCCCAUGAUAACAAGUAAAAGAACCAAAAUAAGGUUAGGUAAUUUCUUGGGGUUUUAAAAUUUUUGUUUACUUUUUCUUUCUAUUAAUAUAUAAAUCUAUUUUACAUGUUAUCUAAUUAGGAUUUUAGGUUAAAAAUUAAGUUAAGCAGGAACAACAAAUGAAAGAUUUUGGUUUAAUUAAUUUUAAUGAAUAAAUUUAUAAUGAAGUCCGAAUAGAAGUUAUUUAUCUGGGAUUAUGAACAGCGGAUUUGAUGCAGUGACCUGAAUUCUUAGUGGACCAAUGGGAUCGCCAAUAAACAUGGUUUUGCUCGUGGCGAUCAUGGAAGGGUGGGGCAGCGGCCACUCCAGAUUCCGGGGGUGCGCCUAAAAGAUCCACUAGAAUAUUUUGUUUGAGAUUUCCUUUCUUUUUAACUAUAUUUUUUUUUCCUUCCGAUCUAGCUUUCUCUUUUCCCUCAAGAUUAUUUGUUGGCUAUUCGCACGCGAUUUUAGUUUAUUUGUUUUAACUUUCAAGAGCACGUAGUAUUACAGUAUUUAAAUUCUAACCCAGCCCAUUGCCGACAACAUAGAGCCGGAACCAGCGCGUGCCACUGUUAGCACUACGACAAUUACAUCUGCUCGCAAUAUAACUAAUCUUCGUUAUAUGCUACAAUUGCUCAAUGUAAUUGUACUUGCGG